rnacentral:rRNA from 1 species
GACGAACGCUGGCGGCGUGCUUAACACAUGCAAGUCGAACGAUGAUGGACCAGCUUGCUGGUUUGGAUUAGUGGCGAACGGGUGAGUAACACGUGAGUAACCUGCCCUUCACUUUGGGAUAAGCCUUGGAAACGGGGUCUAAUACCGAGUAUUCACAUUUUGCCGCAUGGUGGGGUGUGGAAAGCUUUUGUGGUGAGGGAUGGACUCGCGGCCUAUCAGCUUGAUGGUGGGGUAGUGGCCUACCAUGGCUUUGACGGGUAGCCGGCCUGAGAGGGUGACCGGCCACACUGGGACUGAGACACGGCCCAGACUCCUACGGGAGGCAGCAGUGGGGAAUAUUGCACAAUGGGCGGAAGCCUGAUGCAGCGACGCCGCGUGGGGGAUGAAGGCUUUCGGGUCGUAAACUCCUUUCAGCAGGGACGAAGCUUUUGUGACGGUACCUGCAGAAGAAGCACCGGCUAACUACGUGCCAGCCGCCGCAGUAACAC